CCUACGGGAGGCUGCAGUGGGGAAUAUUGCACAAUGGGCGGAACCCUGAUGCAGCGACGCCGCGUGAGUGAUGAAGUACUUCGUUAUGUAAAGCUCUAUCAGCAGGGAAGAAAAGGACGUUACCUGAGUAACAUUCCCUGGCUAACUACGUGCCAGCCGCCGCGGUAAUACGUAGGGUGCAGGCGUUAUCCGGAUUUACUGGGUGUAAAGGGAGCGUAGACGGCAUGGCAAGUCUGGAGUGAAAGGCCGGGGCUCAACCCCCGGAUUGCUCUGGCAACUGGAGGGCUGGAGUGCAGGAGAGGUAAGUGGAAUUCCUGGUGUAGCGGUGAAAUGCGUAGAUAUUAGGAGGAACACCAGUGGCGAAGGCGGCUUACUGGACUGUAACUGACGUUGAGGCUCGAAAGCGUGGGGAGCAAACAGGAUUAGAUACCCGUGUAGUC
rnacentral:rRNA from 1 species